UACGUAGGGCGCAAGCGUUGUCCGGAAUUAUUGGGCGUAAAGAGUUCGUAGGCGGCUUGUCACGUCGAUUGUGAAAGCCUGAGGCUUAACCUCGGGUCUGCAGUCGAUACGGGCUAGCUAGAGUGUGGUAGGGGAGAUCGGAAUUCCUGGUGUAGCGGUGAAAUGCGCAGAUAUCAGGAGGAACACCGGUGGCGAAGGCGGUUCUCUGGGCCUUACCUGACGCUGAGGAGCGAAAGCGUGGGGAGCGAAUAGG
rnacentral:rRNA from 1 species